rnacentral:rRNA from 1 species
GACGUAGGGGGCAAGCGUUGUCCGGAAUCAUUGGGCGUAAAGAGCGUGUAGGCGGCCCGGUCAGUCGGUUGUGAAAGUCAGGGGCUCAACCCUUGAAUGCCGACCGAUACUGCCGGGCUAGAGUCCGGAAGAGGCGAGUGGAAUUCCUGGUGUAGCGGUGAAAUGCGCAGAUAUCAGGAGGAACACCAAUGGCGAAGGCAGCUCGCUGGGACGGUACUGACGCUGAGACGCGAAAGCGUGGGGAGCAAACAGG